UUUUAUAAUAUACAUUCCGUGUGGUGUCUCUGCCUGCCUUUGUCCUUGUCGAGCUUUAUGUGUCAGAAGCGUGCAUGGCAUUGCUGUAAGUAAUGGGUUAAUAUGCUGGUGUACACGUUAAAUUGUGUGUUUUAACAUAAUUGAUCAUUUACAGCAGUGAGUCGGUUCAGUAAACGUUGUAUUGCACAACAAUAUGCGUUAGUUUUUGUUGUUUGGUUGUUUUUUUCACUCCUGCUGUGUUUAAUUACAGUGUUUCCAGCUGGAUGCUAAUGAACAGUUGCAACUGUUCAAUGCAACUGUUAUUUUAACAUUAACACUAUGAAUUAAGUCAACGCUGUGGUUUCUCUGCUGUGUGAUAUCCAGGUGUGUGCUAUAACACUGAAAAAUAUGCCUUAACGUAUUUGUAUUCACCAAGGAAAUAGUUUUAGGUGUUGGUCUAACUCUUUAACAUGACUUCAAAUAUGUAUAAUCUUGUUCUUGGUUUUUUUUUCUUACCAAAGUGAGCAGAGACUGUAACAUGCAGCAGUAGAGCCUUGUGUACACACACACACACACACACACACACACAUAUAUAUAUAUAUAUAUAUAUAUAUAUAUAUACAUGUAAAAUACAUUCAACAUAUGUGUGUGUAAUAUGCUCACAUGCAUGACUCAAAUCCUGAAUGUAACUAAACAAAGUAAAAAAAAGUACAGACUAAGUAAGUAGCACCAGAUUUCUAAAGUGUCACAGUACAUGGGCCGUUAAGAGAAUCACCCCUAGGCAAAAUCUGCAGGCAUUUUGCUCUGAUUUUACUUUAAAAGACAAGAACACGUCCUCUCACACCCUGCACUGAGCAUGCAGUAGUGAUACGUUAGCUUGAGAAGUGUAUAGGGUGUUGUGUGUGUAGCGUGUGAGCAACAGCAGCUGAGAAACACACGCAGUAAAACUUUUUUUUUUUUUAAUUGGACUUCGGGGGGUUUUUAUAGGAGUGAAAUAUACUGGGCUUUUACUUUGAGAAUGAAGAUGAAGUAGUUCCACUUGAUUACGCAUAGUGAUGGAGGAGAUGAUGUUAAAGUGGCUGAAAUGGACAAGUUGCAUGGACACGGUCAAGAGAGACAGAUCAAAUGAGAACAGGUGGCCUCGCUGCUGUGUUGGAGACUGUGUGUCCAAACUAAACACACUGUCCUGUGGGUUAAAGGGGGAUCAUGUUUUAUCUGUAACACUGUUAAAGUAGUUACAUUACAGACAAAUUCAGUUAUUUAACAUAGCAUGGUAUAAUAAUAAUAAUAAUAAUAAUAAUAAUAAUAAUAAUAAUAACAACAACAACAAUAAUAAUGUUGUUGUUAUUAUUGUGUAAUUAUAAUUGCAUAAUAAUGCUUUUAAUACUAUAUUAAAUGUAAACUGUUCUUUACAUGUUUUAGUGUAAGGAUGAUAUUAGUGUCCUAGUGUUUCCAAAAUUCUUCAGUUUGUUAUUGCCAGCCACAUUCUACAUGCAUCACUGACAGUGAAUUGAAAUGAUGUCAUGGUCUAAUGUUAAGGCACAAAAUGUUCUAGAUAAAGCUGGCCUGGCCUUUAGCCUACAUUAAAGCAUGUUUAGCUUGGAGACCAAGUUGGGUGAGAUUCUGCAACACAGCAGCAAGUUCAACUGCUCUUAUUUUACAAGUUUCUGUAUAAGGAAAUAAAAAGGCUUAUGUAUGCAGCCAGUUUUAAAUCUAUUGUGCAAUUAAUGCCAUAGAUGUAAGUUGACUCAGUUUGAUUCGAAUAUUUAGCUCUAUUCAAUUUGAAGAGUCUGAUAUUGUGGGAAAACAACACACUGUAUGCCUGCAUGCGUCUAUAGCAUAGUGAGUGUGUGCUGAUUGAGCAGGUUUACAUAUUUUUCAACCUGAGACCUGUUGCUGACAUGGCAGAGCAGCCUUCUGAUAUGAACAGUCUGUCAUUUUUGCCUGUAAGUUUGCACAUAUAUGUGUAUGCAUUCACUGUGUACCAGUAAAGGUAAUUUUCAUGUAAUGUUCAGUCUGCGGGUAAUUUACAAAGCAAUCGUUCUACUUUUGCAGUACUGAAAAGGCCUUGACCACUGACUGACAGCUUAUUUCCCUGAAUGUCACAAACCGCAGAGUGUUUAUGUACUUCUCUGUUUUGUUCUGGUUUACAUAUAAAUUGAUGUGUUUUUUUUAUUAUUAUUAUUAUCUUUGUGCAAAUAUAACUUGUGCUGGUGCAAUAAAAUGAAUUCUGUCCGUAACUCUGAAUUCAACUCUUUAAUUUACAUGCUGUCACAGAUCAAGGACAUUUCAAGUGAGACAUUUGAUACAUUGAAUUUUAUUGCCUCUCUGAGAGGAUGUAAAGUCUAGUAAAUGCUUCUUUAAUCUAUAACGUAGACAUAUUACACACACUAAUCACUUUUAUCAUGUCUGAUCAACUGUUAACUAAUUUUUAUUUUGUUUGUACACUUUUAAAAUAACUUCGUGUGUGUGUGUUUGUGUGUGUGUGUAUAUCUGUAUAUAAUAUGCGUAAAACAGGAUACUAGUGGGUUAUCUUCAUCACGCUGUGUGUAGGAGCUACUGUACUAAAGCAUCUUGAGGAACAACAGUGGGGGCUUGAUGUCAUGCUGACUUUGCGCUGUCACAGGGCUAUUAAGAAAAGACUGUGUGAAGCAUCUGAACUUUUAUAACCCCACAAGAUAAGAAGUUGAAGAUCAAACCAGCCAUGUGGGAAAUUCAGCCUUCGCAAAACUGCCAAACUUCAUGUGACUUUUUUUCCCCUCUUCUUACUUCUGUUUUUGUUUAUCAAAAAUGCGAUAUUCUGAAACAGAUGAUAGCAUUGUUGCCCAGUCCAAGGAUUUUUUUUUUUUUUUUUUGAGAAUACCUAUUUUUCUCAAAGAAACCUGCAAUUAUUAGAAAUGAAAUUUUGACACUUUGAUCGUGAGAGCAGGAAAGAAACCUGCACGCAAAGUUCUAGUCAGAUUUAUGAGGCAGUUACUUUAUAAUAUUGCUCUUUCUUUCCCUUUCUCCUCUUGUUUAUUGCAUUGGCUCACACAAACUCUUGCACAUUAGGACUUCAUUACCUCAAUGUUGAUCCUCUGACCUUAAGUUGAUAGGUUGCAUUCUUUUCAGUUCAGAUAACUCUUCUCCAUGGACAAUGAUUCAUAUUACUUGAUUACAAAACAUUUCUGCACAUGCACGUGUCCUUUUUGUUCAGUGCUAGACCAAUAAAAUGUCAAACUCAA